CAAGAUUGCAUACCCUGGGGCAUCCGCCUAUGUUGUGAUAAUUCGAAAGAUAAAGGAAGGACCCUAUUGUAAUUGUAUGAGUCCGGGAAGUGAAUCAGAUCUAAAAGGAUUUGUUGUACACUGGAGCGGUCUCUGAAAGGUCCCAUCUACUUAGUUCUUNGUGAACAAAGAUGUAGUUCUGUCGAUGGCUCAAAUGGAUGAUUUCGUAUGUAAAUAAGA
rnacentral:misc_RNA from 1 species